UUCUUGGAAGCGAAACAGUGCAUGUAUAUAUAAGGGGGAUGAUUCACUUGUGGCACAUUAAUCCACAGCACCAUGAAGCCUGCAAUACUUGUCCUCGUUCUUAGCCUCUCCGUUCUUGUGGCAGCCUACGAAACUCAGGCAGAAGCUGUAACAAUGAGCCAGGUGGUUAAUCCAGAGUUUGAGCACCCACACAGCCUCAGGAAAAGGUUGACUGAUGACCCAAAUGAGAAAAACAACGACGGGGAUUUUGGUGUGAGGUAUGAGAGGAAAUUCUAGAACUGCUGUGAGGAUCUCAAGUGACGGAAGAAAAUGACGGAGACUCUCUACGGGAAACUUGGGUAAAUUCAUCGAUAAAUUUACUCGUAUAACAUAAAAUAUGGAAGGUUAAGCAGAAAAAAACAAGACAGAAAUUCAAGCAAGAUUGGCAAGGAGUGACGAGAAAUUGUAUAGAUUUAGGAGUUUGUUAUGUAAACUAUUCAUUUUCUGUUCCUGGGAGGUCAUGUAAAUCCUUCUCCAACCAUUUUCUUUUCAGAAUAACAGUUGAACAAGAGAAAAUUAAGUCGUAAAAACUGACUCGUAAAUGUGCCAAAUUUGUAACUGCAUUAUGUGUGAAUAUGAUAGGAAGAAAAUGUGAUAAUAAAGUAAUGAAAGUUAACC